rnacentral:lncRNA from 1 species
CGGAGCAUAGCUAAAAAAUGAAAAGAAAUAUACAAAAAGAACCUAACGUCUGAAAGAGCAAGAGGACACAAAAAUACAAAACCUAAAAAGCUGACAAAGAACCUACACCUUAGGAAAAGAGCGUCGUUUUUCAGCUGAAAAAAGAAACCCCAUCCCCCCUUGACUUGGUCUUCUAAAAGAUGACCCCCCAUCGGUUUUCUCUUCUUCUUCACCAACUUGAAGAAAGCUUUAGCGAUUUUCUGAGCUUCAGCAACCAUAAACGACCCCCCCCCCCCAUUUCUUAGUCUUCUUUAAUGCUCGAGGAACAGAGGGAAGAACGGAAACAAAACGCACCAAAAUCACAGCUGAAGAAACAGCUUUCAUACCAGUCAAAAGCCUAGCGAAAUCGAGCUUGAAUCACCUCUGAACUCCAGCCAAAGGGCAGCGAAACCAGCCAUGAAAAUAGCUUCAAAACCGGCUAUGUAAGCUCACCAUUUCCAUCAUUAAAGCACUGAAAAAUCAGCACCAACCCACCCCGAAACAACCACUCUUUCUAUGUCAAACGGAGGUUACCGGCGAGGUUGAAUUCCGGCUGUGUUCGAGCCAUGGUUUUCUGACGCCUUUGGAGUUUUAUUACUGGUUCUGGUCCUUGGCUCGAUUAUUGAGUUGUAGAAGUUCAAAGUUUGGAUUCGGCUAGUGUAAAGGUUCAGUUUUCUAAUCCUAGCAUUUUGAUCUUAUUUUGUGUGUUGCUAAGAUGAAUUUGGUGUCAAACUUCAUGAGAUGAUUCUAUCCAAUGUAAUUUUAAAUGUUCUUGUUUUAUUUAGUACAAAUUAACGGAUUAUUAUUUUUUCUAGUCUUAGGUCUAUUCUCUUUUUUUUUGUAGAAAUCUUAUCUGAAUAGGAUUACCCCUUUUUGAUUAGCUUGAAUAUUUUAGUCUGAAAUCGUGGUAUGGCAAGUUUACUGGUUAGAGCAAUUGUGUUGAUAUCCUGUUGUAGGCUUAAUUGGAUAAUUUGCUUGGGCCACGAAGAGGAAAUCGGCUUUUGGGUUGUUUGAGAAGAAAACAUUUUGAGCCAAAAGAUUUAGUCUCUUCAGGCCCAAAGUAAUUAAUAACAUAGCUGGCCAAUCUUACUUUAAGCUAUAGCCCUCAUAUAAUUCGUUAAUUCUUGUAUAAAAUUUGGGGUGCGCCCUUUUCCCUUUAAUAACCCAUGGCCCUCAUGAAAAUUAAUUUAAUCCUUGUAAAAAUUUAGGUGUGCUAUCAAUUAAAUCAUCCAUAGCCCUCACAAAUGUUGCUAUUAAAAAUUGAACCUUCGUAGUUGCUUUAGGCGCGUUUCUUUAAAUAAAGUAUCAUAGCUACGGGUACGGUUCUCGUUACGUAGUUGUGAUACACGAUUCUAAAAUUCGGGUGUGCAUUUCACGUGACCCGAUUCUAAUUUCCAACAAGGUUAAAUAGAAUGUGUCGUGAACCAUGGGUGCAUUUCAUGUAGCGUGGUUUGCGAUGUAUUUUAAAUAACCUUGAAUAAAUUCUUUAAAUAAUUAAAAGCAGUCAAAAGGUUAAAAAAUGCACAUAGGUUUAAAAGUGUUUCAAAAUGAGAUAAAUAGGCCAAUAAUAAUGGUUGAGCGACCGUGCUAGAACCACAGAACCCUGAAAUGCCUAACACCUUCUCCCAGGUUAACAGAAUUCCUUACCCAGAUUUCUGUGUUCGCAGACUGUAAAACAGAGUCAAUCUUUUCUCGAUUCGGGAUUGGAACCGAUGACUUGGGACACCAUAAAUUAUCUCAAGUGGCGACUCUAAUUUUUAAAUAAAUAAUCUCGUUUCGAUUGUCACUUAAAUUGGAAAAAAACUCUCUUAUACCCCUCUCGGGUGUAGUAAAAAAGGAGGUGUGACAGCUCUAGCGACUCUACUGGGGAACGAACCAAGAAUAUCUGGUUCAGGGUUCAGAAUUUGAGCUUAGAAUAACUGUUAUAGUUGGCUUUAUUUAUUAUCUGAUUUUUAUGUGUUUGAGCCUAAUGUGCUGACUGUCGCUUUGAUAUUGUUGAACUGUAUAUAAAUUGUUACAAAACCCUCCUCUUUCUGAGUCUUCUAAAUCAUCUAGGAAGUGUGCACUUCGUGUGACUUCUCUUCUAUUACAGUCAUAUCCUAAUUUUAGAACGAGAUUCGGAUAAGUUGCAAAGUCGGUGAAGCUUCUGUAUUCCCAGUACGUUGCCCCCCUCGGCUCGAGCUGUCCGCUCGGGGAAGCCAGGUCUAGAAUAAAUAAACCUAGGUUUUUAAACAUAGUAUAACACAGCCUCAUGUCGGAUCCCUAGUGGGAAUGCUUGUUUGCAUCACGUGCAUUUGACUUUGGGAACUCAACACAAGGGUUGGGUCUGUCUAGGACAGGUGUACCCAAAAUAAAAGACCAUCCUGAUGCAUCCUAUGUGCUACAUGUUGCAUUUGUUCAAGGGUAAAAGGGUCAUCUGGCGGACCAAUGAUAGUUGAGGGCAAAGAAAAAAUAGAAAAAAAAAAAAGAGGGUUAAGUGUGAAAAUAAAGCAAAUAGGGCCCAGUUAUAUUUUUCUUUCACAUUUUUGUUUAAAGAAAAAGACAAAAAAAAUAUAUGAAAAAUCCAUAAAGAUUUUGCACUUUCCCAUCAUUUUCCAAAAAUCAAAAAAAGAGGGAAAAGAAAAUCCAAAAAAGAGUUUACAUGUUUCAUCAUUUUUUCAAAAAAAAUAUAUAUAUAUAUAUAUUCUCUAAAUUAGUUGUUUUUAAUUCUUGCUCGUAUCCAAUCUGUCCGAACUACGCAUACCUGAUUCUCGUCUUUCGGAAUGUGAUACGUAGGCAACCCAAAUAGAGUCUGGUCUUCCUUGAGUCUUAGGUUCUUAGCUUCUCGGGGUCUUAGCCAAAUCCUGCAUUUUUAGCCACUUUUAGCCGCAUAGGUUAAUUUUAGAAAAAUAGUCACAAUCAUGUCUUGCAUAUGUCCAACAAGAAGGGUUAAUGUCUCACAUAGCGUUCUAGGUCUUUAACUUAUUUGGUUUUAAUUUUCUCAUACAGAUGUAAAUUUACUUACCGGAGUUUGAGCAUGACAGAACCCCGUGACCAUCCAGUUAGGAUCGCUCAUUCAGGAGUGGCUUAAGGAGAUUUUUCUUUUUAUGUUGCCUUUUACCUUGUAGUUUUGUACAGUAAUGUCGAGUCGUUUGGUAUUGUUUUCCUAUUUUGC